rnacentral:rRNA from 1 species
GACGUAGGGGGCAAGCGUUGUCCGGAUUUAUUGGGCGUAAAGAGCUCGUAGGCGGCUCAGAAAGUCGGGUGUGAAACCUCCAGGCUCAACCUGGAGACGCCACCUGAUACUGCUGUGGCUAGAGUCCGGUAGGGGAGCACGGAAUUCCCGGUGUAGCGGUGAAAUGCUUAGAUAUCGGGAGGAACACCAGUGGCGAAGGCGGUGCUCUGGGCCGGAACUGACGCUGAGGAGCGAAAGCGUGGGUAGCAAACGGG